rnacentral:rRNA from 1 species
GACGUACGCUGGCGGCGUGCCUAAUACAUGCAAGUUGAGCGCUGAAGGUUGGUACUUGUACCUACUGGAUGAGCAGCGAACGGGUGAGUAACGCGUGGGGAAUCUGCCUUUGAGCGGGGGACAACAUUUGGAAACGAAUGCUAAUACCGCAUAAAAACUUUAAACACAAGUUUUAAGUUUGAAAGAUGCAAUUGCAUCACUCAAAGAUGAUCCCGCGUUGUAUUAGCUAGUUGGUGAGGUAAAGGCUCACCAAGGCGAUGAUACAUAGCCGACCUGAGAGGGUGAUCGGCCACAUUGGGACUGAGACACGGCCCAAACUCCUACGGGAGGCAGCAGUAGGGAAUCUUCGGCAAUGGACGAAAGUCUGACCGAGCAACGCCGCGUGAGUGAAGAAGGUUUUCGGAUCGUAAAACUCUGUUGGUAGAGAAGAACGUUGGUGAGAGUGGAAAGCUCAUCAAGUGACGGUAACUACCCAGAAAGGGACGGCUAACUACGUG